UACGUAGGGCGCGAGCGUUGUCCGGAAUUAUUGGGCGUAAAGAGCUCGUAGGUGGCUUGUCACGUCUGCCGUGAAAGCCCAUGGCUUAACUGUGGGUCUGCGGUGGAUACGGGCAGACUAGAGGUAGGUAGGGGAGAAUGGAAUUCCCGGUGUAGCGGUGAAAUGCGCAGAUAUCGGGAGGAACACCGGUGGCGAAGGCGGUUCUCUGGGCCUUACCUGACGCUGAGGAGCGAAAGCGUGGGGAGCGAACAGG
rnacentral:rRNA from 1 species